UGGGGAAUAUUGCACAAUGGGCGCAAGCCUGAUGCAGCGACGCCGCGUGAGGGAUGAAGGCCUUCGGGUUGUAAACCUCUUUCGUCAGGGAACAAGGCAUUGCCUUUUUUGGUGGUGUUGAGGGUACCUGGAUAAGAAGCGCCGGCUAACUACGUGCCAGCAGCCGCGGUAAUACGUAGGGCGCAAGCGUUGUCCGGAAUUAUUGGGCGUAAAGAGCUCGUAGGCGGCUGGUCGCGUCUGUCGUGAAAACUUCCGGCUCAACCGGGGGCUUGCGGUGGGUACGGGCCGGCUAGAGUGCGGUAGGGGUAACUGGAACUCCUGGUGUAGCGGUGGAAUGCGCAGAUAUCAGGAAGAACACCGAUGGCGAAGGCAGGUUACUGGGCCGUUACUGACGCUGAGGAGCGAAAGCGUGGGGAGCGAACA
rnacentral:rRNA from 1 species